rnacentral:lncRNA from 1 species
CUCUCUCUGCCAUGUGAGGACAAAGGAGAAGCUGGCAGUCUGCAGCCCAGAAAAGGGUUCUUACUGGAAAUGACCAUGCUGGCACCUUGAUCUCAUACUUCUAGUCUCCAAAACUGUGAGAAGUAAAAUUUUCUUACUUAUAAGCCACCCAGUGUAUGAUACUUUGUAAUGGCAAGCUGAACUGACUAAGGUACUAUAGCCAAAGUGAAUGUGAUUUUUGACGCUUGUGUUCUUGAUCUGUUGGCUGCGGCAGGAGUGUGGACAGAGGCUCAUCUUUAAUGCCUCUGAAGCAGGCUUGGCUUCUCUCUUCCAUGUUGUCCCAUGGCACUUUGUACAUAGAGUGAUGUCACUCAUAUGUACACACUCAUUUUUCUCAGAACGCAGAAAUAUAUGGAGGUCUGAGGUUGAAUCUCAUAUGACUUCCUAAAGAAGGUCUGUCCUUUAUAGUUGCUUUACUCAUUACUGCUAAGGAACUUUUUACAUUUCUUGAUAUCCCCUGUCAUUUUUGUUUUGUUUUGGCGUUGGGGGAAAGCAGAUGUAGGAUUGAACAGGGAAGGCGGAAGCAAGAAGAUGAGGAUGGCCACUCUCAUUUGCUUCAGUUGACUGUUUUCAAUUCCUAUUGUUAGAGAAGUGAGUGUGAAAGAACUGGCUAUUCAAGAGAGUGUUGGAGAUUCUGGCAAGCAGAGAUUCUUCGGAGCCCAGGUGGAAAGUGAAGCGCUGAGUUGGGGAGAAAUGCUCAUGCCUUCUGCAGACUGAAGCCAGAAUGGACUGAAUGUCACAGCCUUUAUAACCCACACUGUGGCCGCAAGAAGAGAUUCAAAGAAAAGAAGAUCCUCCCUGCCAUUCCUCAGUGGCUGAAGUGCGUGGCCAGUCAUCAUUCGCUGAGCCCUUACUAGUAAGAUACUGAGAAUCCGACAGGUUAAAUUACUUCAAAAUCAAACAAAAAAAAUCGUAGAACUGGGAUUUAACCCUCAAAGCGUCAAUUCUGAAGUUAAAGCUUUACCCCAGGGCCUUAAGACACAGGAACUAGCAUCAGAAAUGUCUCAAAAACAUGAUGCUAUUUGGUUUCUACGUGCUUUAACUCAGCCCACAUCAGCAGCCUCUGUUCUGGAGCAGAAAUGGAAGGAAAAUUCCUGGGACUUUAGUGCUUCCUGCAGCCAGCCUCAGGCCCUUUUCUUCUACAGAUUCUGGGAUGCAAAAAUCCUACUUCUGCUCUAAAAGGAGAAAAUGUGAUUUGCAAGGAGAAUGUACCUCUUCUUCUUCCUUGAGAGCCAUUGCCCCUUUUAUCAAUGUGACACAGCCCUUCGGAAACAGGCUCCUUGUUCUUGGAGCUUGGCAGGGAAAAAAAACCAAGAAUUCAUUUGAAGGAGAGAAAGCAUCGUUAAAAAUGCCCUAUUUAGGGAAAACUUCAGAGCCAAGACUAGAUGUAUGUUCUCAUUAUUUCACAUGUUGUCAGAGUAACCAGUACAGUGAAAAGACAGCCUUUUGAAGAAAACAAGUUUGUGGAAAGUGCUUAAUUAAGACUAUGGAAAUGAUGUUAGAGAAAAAGCAAAUUUGGGCAAUUUUCUUAUUCGAGUUCAAAAUGUGUCAUAAAGCAGUGGAGACAACUCCCAACAUCAACAAUGCAUUUGGCCCAGGAACUGCUACUGACCAUACAAUACAAUGGUGGUUCAAGAAGUUUUGCAAAGGAGAGGAGAGCCUUGAAGAUGAGGAGCAUAGCGUGGCAUUUGAAACAAAUUGAUUGUAAACUCCUUGGAGCCUCAAAUCUGUGUC